AUUGAACGCUGGCGGCAGGCCUAACACAUGCAAGUCGAGCGGAGCGGCGGACGGGUGAGUAAUGCCUAGGAAUCUGCCUGGUAGUGGGGGAUAACGUCCGGAAACGGGCGCUAAUACCGCAUACUAUCAGAUGAGCCUAGGUCGGAUUAGCUAGUUGGUGGGGUAAAGGCCUACCAAGGCGACGAUCCGUAACUGGUCUGAGAGGAUGAUCAGUCACACUGGAAAGGAGACACGGGCAAGACUACGACGGGAGGCAGCAGUGGGGAAUAGUGGACAAUGGGCGAAAGCCUGAUCCAGCCAUGCCGGGUGUGUGAAGAAGGUCUGCGGAUUGUAAAGCACUUUAAGUUGGGAGGCGUUACCAACAGAAUAAGAACCGGCGAACUGCGUGCCAGCAGCCGCGGUAAU
rnacentral:rRNA from 1 species